rnacentral:rRNA from 1 species
ACGAACGCUGGCGGCGCGCCUAACACAUGCAAGUCGAACGGAGCUUAAAGAGCUUGCUUUUUAAGCUUAGUGGCGAACGGGUGAGUAACGCGUGAGUAACCUGCCCUGAAGUGGGGGACAACAGUUGGAAACGACUGCUAAUACCGCAUAAGCCCACGGCCCGGCAUCGGGCUGCGGGAAAAGAAUUUAUUCGCUUCAGGAUGGACUCGCGUCCAAUUAGCUGGUUGGUGAGGUAACGGCCCACCAAGGCGACGAUUGGUAGCCGGACUGAGAGGUUGAACGGCCACAUUGGGACUGAGACACGGCCCAGACUCCUACGGGAGGCAGCAGUGGGGGAUAUUGCACAAUGGGGGAAACCCUGAUGCAGCGACGCCGCGUGGAGGAAGAAGGUUUUCGGAUUGUAAACUCCUGUCGUUAGGGACGAUAAUGACGGUACCUAACAAGAAAGCACCGGCUAACUACGUGCCAGCAGCCGCGGUAAAACGUAGGGUGCAAGCGUUGUCCGGAAUUACUGGGUGUAAAGGGAGCGCAGGCGGACCGGCAAGUUGGAAGUGAAAACUAUGGGCUCAACCCAUAAAUUGCUUUCAAAACUGCUGGCCUUGAGUAGUGCAGAGGUAGGUGGAAUUCCCGGUGUAGCGGUGGAAUGCGUAGAUAUCGGGAGGAACACCAGUGGCGAAGGCGACCUACUGGGCACCAACUGACGCUGAGGCUCGAAAGCAUGGGUAGCAAACAGGAUUAGAUACCCUGGUAGUCCAUGCCGUAAACGAUGAUUACUAGGUGUUGGAGGAUUGACCCCUUCAGUGCCGCAGUUAACACAAUAAGUAAUCCACCUGGGGAGUACGACCGCAAGGUUGAAACUCAAAGGAAUUGACGGGGGCCCGCACAAGCAGUGGAGUAUGUGGUUUAAUUCGAAGCAACGCGAAGAACCUUACCAGGUCUUGACAUCCGAUGCAUAGUGCAGAGAUGCAUGAAGUCCUUCGGGACAUCGAGACAGGUGGUGCAUGGUUGUCGUCAGCUCGUGUCGUGAGAUGUUGGGUUAAGUCCCGCAACGAGCGCAACCCCUGUACUUAGUUGCCAGCAUGUAGAGAUGGGAACUCUAAGUAGACUGCCGCGAAUAACGCGGAGGAAGGUGGGGAUGACGUCAAAUCAUCAUGCCCUUUAUGUCCUGGGCUACACACGUACUACAAUGGGUGUAACAGAGGGAAGCAACACAGCGAUGUGAAGCGAAACCCAAAAAGCACCCCCAGUUCGGAUUGAAGGCUGAAAUUCGCCUUCAUGAAGCCGGAAUUGCUAGUAAUGGCAGGUCAGCAUACUGCCGUGAAUACGUUCCCGGGCCUUGUACACACCGCCCGUCACACCAUGAGAGUUGGGGAUACCCGAAGCCUGUGAGCCAACAGUUAAAUGAGGCAGCAGUCGAAGGUAGAAUCAAUGAUUGGGGUG